CCUACGGGAGGCAGCAGUGAGGAAUAUUGGUCAAUGGGCGCGAGCCUGAACCAGCCAAGUAGCGUGAAGGAUUACUGCCCUACGGGUUGUAAACUUCUUUUAUAAAGGAAUAAAGUGAGGCACGUGUGCCUUUUUGUAUGUACUUUAUGAAUACGGAUCGGCUAACUCCGUGCCAGCAGCCGCGGUAAUACGGAGGAUCCGAGCGUUGUCCGGAUUUAUUGGGUUUAAAGUGAGCGUAGAUGGGUUGUUAAGUCAGUUGGGAAAGUUUGCGGCUCAACCGUAAAAUGGCAAUUGAUACUGGGAGUCUUGAGUACAGUUGAGGGAGGCGGAAUUCGGGGUGUAGCAGUGAAAUGCUUAGAUAUCACGAAGAACACCGAUGGCGAAGGCAGCUUACUAAACUGCCACUGACAUUGAUGCUCGAAAGUGAGGGUAUCAAACAGGAUUAGAUACCCCAGUAGUC
rnacentral:rRNA from 1 species